UGCUGCUGAAGGUGUUAAUGCUCACCACAUAUUCACGAGGCCUACAUUACAAAGGAUCAGCGAAAGAAUUCCCAAACAUGAGAAGAAUUUCUCGAGAUCAAUGGAAUAGGAAGGGCAAAACUAGCCAAAUAUGGUGACCGGGUACUGGAACUGAUCGAGCGUACAAUCAAGGACUUCUACAGUAAGGGCAAGAGACGUCGCACUGGUAGCGGUCAUAAUUCUGGAGCAAACCAGAGAAGUUUAACAGAAUAUUAUAGUUUAGACAAGAGAAGUAGCAGUAGCAGUAGUGGUGAUAGUGGUACUAGUUCUGAGGCAAGCAAGAGGAGAAGAACGUUGACUGGCACAAUCAAGUCAGGGUUCUAAAGUGGAAGAUGAUGGAUUCACCAGUAUACUUGAUUAUUGGAGAAAAGAGCAACAUCAGAUGAAGCUCUAUGAUUAUCCAACUUUGAUGAUUUUAGUGCAGCGAAAUCUGUUCAAUGCAUCAAUCUAUUACCUUCGUGGUCAAAUUUGGGAGAUCAGUUGAUUAUGCACAAUGUCAGCAAGUUGUACGAGCGAUUCUCUUUCAAGGAAUACAUGUGUAUUUAAAGUGUAUGUGUUUGUACAACAGAAUACCACGUUGACGGUUCUGAAAGUUGUAAUCGCUGAAUUUCUUGUAUAGCUUUUUAUGGCAGUGAGUAAUACAACCCUGAUUUGGGGUUUAAAGUAA